rnacentral:rRNA from 1 species
UGGGGAAUAUUGCGCAAUGGGGGAAACCCUGACGCAGCGACGCCGCGUGAGCGAUGAAGGCCUUAGGGUUGUAAAGCUCUGUUUUAGGGGACGAAUGUCCAUGUGAGUAAUAUGCGCGUGGAAUGACGGUACCCUAAGAGGAAGCCCCGGCUAACUACGUGCCAGCAGCCGCGGUAAGACGGAGGGGGCGAGCGUUGUCCGGAAUUACUGGGCGUAAAGAGCACGUAGGCGGGAACUUAAGUCAGGUGUGAAAGACCAGGGGCUCAACUCCGGGGUUGCACUUGAAACUGGGUUUCUUGAGGGCAGGAGAGGAAAGCAGAAUUCCUGGUGUAGCGGUGAAAUGCGUAGAAAUCAGGAGGAAUACCAGUGGCGAAGGCGGCUUUCUGGACUGACCCUGACGCUGAGGUGCGAAAGCGUGGGUAGCAAACA